ensembl:lncRNA
CCUGCUAUGAAAACUUCCAUAAUAGAAAUACUAAUGGUAAUGGAACUACUUAUUUAUGAAUUCUAAAGUUGCGUCAUGCGUCAUUGUUAUUCAACGGGGGGCAUUUGAGUGAAUGUUAAUUUAGUUACAGGAAGCGUAUGUAGAGACGGCUGGCUACAGUUGCAGACUUCCUAAUUUGAUUGAGAGAGGCACAAGAGAGGACGCAAAUAGGUGCUGGAAGGCGCUUUGAGAUUCAGCAUGGAGGUUAUAAAUUGGACCAAAUUAGGGGAAGAGAAGUCACACCGCGCACCACUAACUUUACACUGACGCAGCGGCUGACGUUAUAAAUAGUGUAAUGAUCUUUAUUUAUAGUGUAAUGGAGAUUGUUUCACAGCACUGUUUCAAAGUUCGUGGUAUUUAAAGUGCAGGCGGACACUGAGCAGGCAGUCGUCACGGGCGUCUGCCUGUUUGGCUCAGUUUGAUUUGGACUGUGGGCGAGGUCACUGUAAACUGGUUGAAGCCGG